rnacentral:lncRNA from 1 species
UCUGUACUUCCCUUUAGACUGAGGCUGGCUCUGAGCAGAGGGUCCUCCAAGGGCUGUCAGUACCAGCUCAAAGAACACAGGAGGAGCAGAAAUCCACCCUGGUUUGUGGGCCUCUGAAGAAUGAACAUACUUCUGGAAAUUGCCUGGAGAGAGCAGUUUCUUCAACAGGUGUGGAGCUUCUAGUGAAUCCACUCUGCUUCACCUCUGGGACACUCUGGGAUGUCAAUGCCAUGUACAGCUGCCAAGGGAAACUGCUGUGGAAACCCACAAACUGCACUUUUGUUCUCUGCCAGCAUCACAUGCAGCCUGAGUAAUAUUUGUGCUGUUUCCAUUUUAAGAGAUUGAGUGUGUUGGGUGUUUCCAGCAGGCGGGCAAACCACGUCUCUGCAGUAUCAUGGCUUUUGUUGGUGACAGUUUCCAUGGUGUUGGUGUUCCCUCAGUCUCAGAGUUAGCACAGUUUCAUUAUCUCCAAAGAUGGUGUUUAAAUUGCCCAUCUCAUUAAUAAAUUAGACCUUGGUAAUUAUGGGCUUUUCUAA